rnacentral:rRNA from 1 species
AGUGAACGCUGGCGGUAGGCCUAACACAUGCAAGUCGAACGGCAGCACAGUAAGAGCUUGCUCUUACGGGUGGCGAGUGGCGGACGGGUGAGGAAUACAUCGGAAUCUACUUUUUCGUGGGGGAUAACGUAGGGAAACUUACGCUAAUACCGCAUACGACCUACGGGUGGAAGCAGGGGAUCUUCGGACCUUGCGCGAUUGACUGAGCCGAUGUCGGAUUAGCUAGUUGGCGGGGUAAAGGCCCACCAAGGCGACGAUCCGUAGCUGGUCUGAGAGGAUGAUCAGCCAAACUGGAACUGAGACACGGUCCAGACUCCUACGGGAGGCAGCAGUGGGGAAUAUUGGACAAUGGGCGCAAGCCUGAUCCAGACAUACCGCGUGGGUGAAGAAGGCCUUCGGGUUGUAAAGCCCUUUUGUUGGGAAAGAAAAGCAGCAGGUUAAUACCCCGCUGUUAUGACGGUACCCAAAGAAUAAGCACCGGCUAACUUCGUG